rnacentral:rRNA from 1 species
UACGGGGGGGGCAAGCGUUGUUCGGAAUUACUGGGCGUAAAGGGCUCGUAGGUGGCCAACUAAGUCAGACGUGAAAUCCCUCGGCUUAACCGGGGAACUGCGUCCGAUACUGGAUGGCUUGAGAUUGGGAGAGGGAUGCGGAAUUCCAGGUGUAGCGGUGAAAUGCGUAGAUAUCUGGAGGAACACCGGUGGCGAAGGCGGCAUCCUGGACCAACACUGACACUGAGGAGCGAAAGCGUGGGGAGCAAACAGG